GUGGGGAAUCUUCCGCAAUGGACGAAAGUCUGACGGAGCGACGCCGCGUGAGUGAAGAAGGCCUUCGGGUCGUAAAGCUCUGUCAUCAGGGACGAACGGCCGGUGGAGUGGAAAGCCACCGGAUUGACGGUACCUGAGAAGGAAGCCACGGCUAACUACGUGCCAGCAGCCGCGGUAAUACGUAGGUGGCAAGCGUUGUCCGGAAUUAUUGGGCGUAAAGCGCGCGCAGGUGGGAUCUUAAGUCCAUUUUGAAAGUUCGGAGCUCAACUCCGUGAUGGGAUGGAAACUGGGAUUCUUGAGUACCGGAGAGGAAAGCGGAAUUCCCCGUGUAGCGGUGAAAUGCGUAGAUAUGGGGAGGAACACCAGUGGCGAAGGCGGCUUUCUGGACGGUGUCUGACACUGAGGCGCGAAAGCUAGGGGAGCGAACGGGAUUAGAUACCCCUGUAGUCC
rnacentral:rRNA from 1 species